UAUAUUGUAUUAAUAAAUGGAAAUCCCCAGGAUUGUUUUAGAUCUCAAAGGAGUUUGAGACAAGGGGACCCUCUGUCCCCAUAUUGUUUACUCUAGUGAUGGAAGUUCUUAGUAGGAUGUUAAUGAAGGUGGAGAAGUUGGGAUGGAUUAAAGGAAUGCACUUUGGCAGAACUGGUGAUAAUAGAGUCAUAUUUUCUCAUAUCAUAUGUGCUGAUGACACCCUCCUUUUGUAUGAAGCAGAGAAAGAGCAAAUACUAUACCUCAAAGGAGUUCUGCUAAUUUCUGAAGUAGUCACUGGAUUAAGAACUAAUAUGGCCAAAAGUAGCAUAUUUAGCAUUGAUGCUGAUAACACAGUUGAGGAGCUGGCUGCUAUUUUGGGUUGUAAGGUUGAGAAAUUUCCAACAAUAUAUCUUGGGCUUCCUCCGAAGAAAAAUGAUCAGAAUAUUUGGCAAUGGGUCUUGGAUAGAUGUGCUAAUAAGUUGGUUCUCUCGAAGAAACAAUAUUUUAUCUAUGGGAGGCAGACUUACAUUAAUAAGAAGUGUGUUAGAUGGAAUGCCAACCUACCUGGUGUCCCUUUUUGCUAUGCCCGCUGCAAUCGAGAAAAAGAUGAAUACCAUGAGAAAUAAGUUUCUAUGGGAUGACAAUGCUACUAAAAAGAAAAUGCAUUUAGUCAAAUGGCAAGUGGUGUUGAACGAUAAAUAAGGGGGUGGCUUGGGUAUAAGAACUCUGAAAGUUCACAAUAAGAGCUUGCUUUUCAAAUGGUUAUGGAGAUACACGCAUGACGGGGAUUAUGUAUGGAAGAAGCUGAUCAAUGCUAUUUAUGGUAACAAGAUUGAGUGGAGACCUUCCUCUUUACACUUGAAUGCAAAAGGAGGCAUCUGUAAGUGUAUUAGUAAACUUUGGGAAGAAUUUUUGAAAUUUACUAAAUUGGAAGUUGGGAAUGGACAAAGAAUUAAAUUUUGGAUAGAUUUAUGGAUAGGGGAAGAAUGCUUGAAAUUUAAGUAUCCUAUUCUAUUCAGUUACUCUGUUAAUAAGGAUGGUAUGAUUGGUGAUUUUCACACAGAGGCAGGAUGGCAGGUGGAGCUCAAAGAAACUUGAACGACCGGGAGGUAGAUGAUUAUUGUCUUUUACUUCAGUAGCUUGACUCAGUCUCAAUUAAUCAUAGUAAGGUGGAUGCACUGAUCUGGGCAGUCAGAAGCUGUUAUAAUAUGCUGAUUAAGAAGUUAAGUCACAGGGUUAACAAUUGGCCUUGGAAGAUGAUUUGGAAGACAAACGCUCCGGUCAAGGUGGCAUGCUUUGGCUGGAUAGCAACCUGGGAAGCAUGUUUGACACAAGAUAUUUUGCAAAAAAGGGGUUUUAAUCUAAGUAAUAGAUGCUAUCUGUGUGAAGGAGUUCAAGAAUCAGUGAAUCAUAUUCUUCUCCAUUGUAGAAUUGCUAGACAAUGCUGGGAUUUAUUCUUAAACAUUUGUGGUAUCUCUCAGGUAAUGCCACAGACUGUUAGGAGUUUGUUGGAAGAGGGCAAAAUCAAAGAGUACCUAGAAGACUGAAGCAAAUGUGGAAAACCAUUCCAAUGUGCAUAUUCUGGACUUUAUGGCUGGAAAGGAACUGUGCUUGUUUUGAAGGACACAAGGAUCACAUUUUUAGAAUUAGAAACAAAUAUAUUAACAACUUGUUUUAUUGGUGUAAAAGCAGUGUACCAAUGGAACAACAAUAGUUUAUUGAUUUUCUGGAUUUACUAGGAGGCCCGCACGAGAUGGUUGUUUUUGGGGUGCUCUUUGUAACUUUUUGUACCAUCUUGGUACCUUAUUAAUGAAACUUUUACCUGUUACCUUAUUAAUGAAACUUUUACCUGUUGAUUAUUAUGAUUCAAGGAGAUUUGAUUUGAUUUGAUAGCUAGAUUUAUUGUAUAGAUCUAUUUUAUUUCCUUAAUUAACAUUAGGAGCUUUGUAUAAAU
rnacentral:lncRNA from 1 species